AGAUUAUCCAAAACUAUCUGGUAUUGGCUACUAUGUAAGCCAUGUUCAGACCGGAUCGUGUCAUGAUCAUGAUACUCAUCAGGAUGGUGCCAACCCGCCCGGCAUGCGCCCGUCACUCUGUACCCUGCACACAAU
rnacentral:ncRNA from 1 species